CACCUUUCCAACUCCAUUGUGGCAGAAUGAGCUCACACACAUCUCUUCUCUGGCUGUUGGCGCUCUGGAUUCAGGGCUGCCUUGGACAAGUUGUGCUGACUCAGACCCCGGAAUCUCUCUCAGUGCCAGUGGGAGAGAGAGUCUCAAUCAACUGCAAAGCCAGCACAAGCAUUGGCACUUGCCUAAACUGGUACCAACAGAAACCUGGACAAGCUCCCAAACUUCUUAUCUACUAUGCCAGCAGCCUGCAGUCAGGGGUCCCAGCCCGGUUCAGCGGCAGUGGAUAUGGCACUGAUUUUACACUCACGAUCAACAGUGUCGAAGCUGAUGAUGCUGGAGACUAUUACUGUCAGCAGAGUAACAAGCUCCCUCUCACAGUGAUACAGACCAGUACAAAAACUAAGCACAUCUGA